CUUGACCGUAUUGACUUCACUCUGCUUGAUGCCACCUCUGUUCUCUUGUAGGUCUUAAAGCACUCAUAGAGUGUCAUUGUGAUGGGCUGCCGCUCUUCUACCUGUGCCAGGUGUGUAAGUGUAAAGUCCUGCAGAACUCGAUUAUCUCCCAUGUCACUGGAGACAAUCACCGACAAUUAUCCCUGUGGCCUAUGAAUACUAUUCCCAAACGCCACAGGAGGUUGAGGGCAGCUGCCUUAAAGCUGGAGAAGACCUUGGGAUAUGGAGAAUUUAAGGUAGCAGUGUUGAAUGCGCGAACAUAUCAUUCUAUUUCUACUAAUUCCAUUCCCUUCGACAUGAAGGUAAAGAUGGUCUUGUGUGAUCACUAUUCAAGUGACCCCCGAUAUUUCGUCAUGCCUCUAGCUAAGAAGCCUAAGCCCAAGCUGAAGAAAAACAGUAAUGUCAAAACUCUGGCCCUAGACUGCAAUGACGUGUGUUCUCCCGCAGCACCCGCUGGGAGAUUCCCUGCUCUGUGGCGCUACCUGCAGCAGUCCAACAGACAGCCUGUCAUUGGUGUUGGUAUGUUGACAGAGUUGACCGAACGAGAUGGUGACUACGUCCUGUGUGGAUGCUGUUCUCACAAGAUGUUUCCAUCCUCUGUCACCUCACACGUCAUCUCUUCCAGACACCGCUACUACUACAUAAGAAUGGCACAUCCUGAGCUGGCUGUUAAUUGGCCAGAAAGUCCAGCGCUGAUUGUGUAUAAUGGGCCUCUUCAAAGAGAGCUGAGAGUGCAAGCUAAAGAACUGGAGGGUCAGGAAGGACCUGAACAUCCCCAGGUGGUGAAAGAAACAUCUGCUACAUCGGGAGGUGGACCCACAACCUGCCCAGAAGAGGUUGUCGAACAGAUCCAGAUUCACUCCGCUCCUGUCUCUGUGGAAGAGGAACCGGUUAACUCAGAGCCAUCACAGCCCCUCGGAGAAAAGAAAAAGACGAGGAAUAGGGGCAAUCCUGUGGUUGGAGUGAACUUCCUGGUCCGGGUGUCUCACAGAAAUAGGAAACAAUACUACUGUCAGCUGUGCUCCGUUAGGGUGAAGCAUCCCGUUAUUGAUCACAUGACCAGCCUCCGCCAUCGACACAGCUAUGUGAAAUUGAAGUACCCCAGUUGGACCUCCGACUCAGAGGCAAAGCUGUUCAAGAUGGCUUUUCACCUGGAGAAGGUGGAUCGAAGCGCUGGACUGGGCAUGCAGAAAGUAGAAGUGGAUGCUGUUGAAUUCAAGGAUCUAAGGUCUUGCCCUGUGGAGGAAGCUCUCAGUAAACUGCAGGCCAUUAUCAUACAGCAACAAGAGCCAGGUGAUCUGAAGAUGCAUCCCUCAACCAAUCAGAACCCAGAAGAUCUGAGACAGACUGCUCCCUCAUUGAGACCUGUCAGUGCCCAAGGGCCAUCUAACGGAGACCAGGAACACCUACAAGUACCUGCCUCCUCUCUCCAGGAUCAGCCGUCCUUUGGCUCCACAUCUGUCCCCCUCUCAUCCUCCAGUCCUCCUUGCCUCUCUCCCUCAAACUCCUUCUCUGCCUCUCUCCCCGCAGUGUCCCUAUCUGCCUCAACCUCCCUUUCUUCCUUUGUUCCAUCCUACACUCCCGUUUUGUCCACUGAGAAGACGACUGACCCCUCAUCAGAUGUUGUCUCUGUCCCCGAUCCUGUCUGUGAUCCUGUCUCUGUCCCUUCACCCCUCUCCGCUCUAAAGAACCCAACACAUCUGAAGGACUGCGAGAGUCCAGAGUGGUGGGAGAGGAGGAGCCCAGAAAACAGAGAGACACUAAUGCUUCUGGAACUCCCAGACAAACAGACGGAGUACGCGGCGGGAGACCGGCUGACGGAGUACGCGGCGGGAGACCGGCUGACGGAGUACGCGGCGGGAGACCGGCUGACGGAGUACGCGGCGG
ensembl:lncRNA